AUGAGGUCCAGAAUCCUUCUGCUCAUUCUCCCGCUGUGUCUACUCGAGUAUGGAUCUGGUGAGUGGCGAAAGUUUCCUCCUGUUGUUGUGAGUCUGUCUGGCCGGGACCUGGAGGUAAACACAGCUAAUGAAGUGAGAUGUUUUAGCAUGACUCAUGCAAAUUUUUUAGUGAAGUCAGUUCACAUAGACAUUUUUCCUCCCUUCUCUUCACAGAGCUGUGAAAUCCUUUCCUCUUCUCUCUGGCUUUGUAGCUGUGCACAAGCUCCGUUAAAUUCCCAGAUGUGGUCAGUGGAUUUUAAUCUGAUAUGUGUGAAACAUCACAUGCUCAAUACUGUGGUGGAAGUAAAUGUAAGAGUCGAUCAUAUGAAUGUGUGCCACUCUUUGCUUGCUUACUACCAAGAAAAUAAUGAAAAACAGCUGUUUUAUAUGAAAUAAAUUGGGUUCUGGCAUACUGAACCGAAAGAACUGGUAAAAAAAAGUAUUGCUCAUGUGCACAUGCUGUAAAAUGAAAGCUGUCACAGACUGCAUUCAUUUCUUUUGAUUAUUUGACUAACAGUAAGAGAGCCUGGAUAGUUUUAUUAGAUCCUGUUCUUUCCAGUGGCCUUCAAUGCUCAAACCGAGUUCGGAAAGGCUUUCUUGAUAUCUUGAGCUCAGAAUUUUUACCUGCAGGAUAAAGCAGAGACUUCUUUAUUACCCUUUUCAAUUUUAGGUUAUGGCAACUCGUGUAGCACUUUCUUAUCUGGUUGUUCUUUCCCUGGAAAAUGAACAAGUAUAAUUCAAAAUACAGGCCAAAAUAAAUAGACUGCUAUAACAAACUACAAUCUCUUAGCUUUCCUGCGGUACUUCAUUAAACUCUGUGCCCCUCUGAAGACAGGUUCACUUAUCUUCAUUUCUUUUUAUUUCAACAUUUUGUGACCUCUAACCAGGUGCAGCAGCAUAAAUCUUUAUGUAUAUUGCAGACAGUAACAACAACCAAAACAUGUUGGACCUUUUGUCCUUUUUAAAGCUUCAAUAUUUUUAUAUUAAGAAUGGAUCACAUGGCUUAGUGUACAGCCCGUCCUCACUAUAAAAACGGCUGUAUAAGUCCUCAGCUUAAAUACUACAAGCAAAAGGCCCCAUCUAGAGCCAGUGUUUGGGUUGUCUGUGGUGACUCUGUAAAGGAGUACCUGCUCACGUUGUAGAUAUUAUUCUAAGGUAAUAAAAACACAAUGAUUCUUGUUUUCAGGUGAUUAUACAUACCUAUGAAUAUUAUGUUCCAUUUCUGCUAAUAGAUCCCCCUAAAUGUUACACACUGGACCUUUAAGACAAGUUUAGUACGUGAUUUACAUAAUGUAACAUAGCCUACUUAUCUUACCUAACCAAGUAACCUAACCAUGUUUUGGUGCCUACAUCUAACAAAACUGCAACCAUGUGUUUAGCUUAUGUCAUGUGACUUACGCACUAUACUACAGCUUUUACUGGUACUCUCUACCAGUCAUAUAUGUCAUUUUGGGAUUUACUGGCAAUCAAUCUCAUCUUUCAUUUAGGUAUGAGGACGUGUUGUGACAGGGGACGCUUGUAUGAACCUACAGUAAAUAAUCUGCUGUUCCUCUCAGCUCUACUGAGCAUUUUAGAGUCUUUUCGGCUCACUGUUUUGGUUCACUCUCUGUUCUCAUCAGGGCUGUUUUCAGCUGCAGAAUGUAGCAGUUAUAAGCGAAUAGGCAACUAGCUGAUGAAUAUAAUGAAGCAUUUAGCAGCUAAAGAGGCAGAUGUUUUCUUAGGAGUUGGUGGAGACCAAAAACAGCUAGAUGGAGAGUGAAUAGUGGACUUGCUUUCACCAGGUGUCCAGAAACAGGACUCCAAAUGAAUGCCUCUGUUGCUAUUUUAUGAAAUAAAAAUUGUUGUUUUGUAGUAGAGGGAGGGAAACUGACAUGUUUCUACAGUAGCCAAGAAUGGACAGAUCAAAAAUUGGCUCUAGAUAGGUCCUUUUGCAACUCAGCCACUGUAGUUUAUCCAGCAUGCUUGGAAGGUGAGGAGUAUUUAGUUGAUUGACAUUUGUAACUUCACCACUAGAUGCCAUUAAAUCCUACACACUGGACCUUUAAGGUUAAAGUAUUUAAGUUGGACAUCAGAGAACCAGGGAUGAUACAAUCACCAUAUAUGGUACACUAGGCCACUUUUUGUCCUUUAAAGCGAGACUUACUUUUCUUGACUGAGAGCUACUGUAUUGAUAUGUGACAACUAAGGGUUGAUGAUAACUGGUAAAAUAUAGUGUAACAGUACCACAAGUAGAGUAGAGUUAUAAAGUCAGCAAACUCGCUCUAAAGUUUGCUAACAUUAGCUAUCAUAAGGCACUGGUUAUACCACACCAUUAUAAGGCUGUAGCAGCAACAUGCUUUUGUUUAUCGUUUAAGGAAUAGAAUACUGAAACUGACUGAUUUGAUUAUGUUUAUGUUCUGUGUCAGUUCUGUACUGUUUGCUGUUUCUCGCGAUCCUCUCUCCAAACACAAGGUUCUCUUCAGUAGAAUCUUCUGUUAUUCAGUCUGUAAAGUUCUCUGUGCAUACAUAUCAUUUACCAGCUGAAUGAAUGUGAUCCUGCUUGGACCAGAAGUUUUACUGCUCUGUUAUUGAAAUACAGACUUAGCAGUGGAAGGGGAGGUGGUGCUCAAUUAGUAUUCAUAGCGGAUCUGUAGUGAUAGCAAUCUGAGAUUACGCUGCUCACUGGAAUUUAUAGCUUCAUGCACACAUGCACAAGCACCUGCUUUAUUCUUCCCUUAAAUUCAAAGGAAUGACGGUCUUUAAACACUCGACUGUGAUGAUGAAAGCAGGCAGAAAGUUAUUUAUCUGCGGCACAUAUGGGCUGUUUACACUAGCAAAUCGUUUAAAAGUUUAGAAAAUGAGUCUUUACUGUACAUGAGAGUCCUCUUGAGUCUGGUGUGCGUGGGGAUUUGGUAUUGCGUGCUGCUUCCUCUUUUGAGUUGUUUACAAAUGCUGUGGCAGGCAGAGGGAGGCCAGCUAGAGCUCUUUUUCACACCAGUGCCAGGAAUGUCAUUAAUAUAAGCAGUGGUAAUAUUACCCCCCCCCCCAACACUCUCUCAUACCUGCAUGCAUGUACAAACAGACUCGCAAUACAUCAGAAAAGGGGGGAUGAAGUGGUGUUUAUGUGGAAUAAUGAGCGUAUUCAUGCCAUGUAGCACCCAGCGGUUUCAUAUUUGAGCCGGGUUACAGUGUUUUGACCCCUGGAAAGAUUCAUAUCAAGCCAUCUGGAGGAGAAGGAAGGUUACACAAUAGGGGAUCAGCUGCGCUACUCCCAUUUAAAUACCAUUCUGCUCUACUAUUUGGUUUCAUGUUGGAGGAUUAUGUUUAGCAUGCCGGGUGCUGUGUCAUGAAUCAGCCAACAGAACAGAACAGAGUCGUAUUAAGCUUAAUAACACAAGCAUGGCACGGGGACAAGAUCGCUGCAUGUUCUUGCUCGCCGUCCUGCCUCAGACAGCACUCUACAUGGCAAAGCUGUGCCCUUGCAGUCAGAUCGACUUUUUGAGAAAUUCAAUUACGCUCUGAAAUGAACAGCCAGUGCUUGUGGAUAGAAUGGGUUUUAGAGUGAGAGCCAUCCAUUGCAGUGGGAAUGUGUCACAUUUCCAUGAAUACUGAAUGGAGUG
ensembl:lncRNA